rnacentral:lncRNA from 1 species
UUUAUACUGAUUCACUUUUACCUAAUCUCUUAAGCAACUUGUUUAAGAAGUUUAACUAAUCAACAACUUUGAUCAGUGUUAAAAAUAAAGCCUUAUAUCUCAAUCCAAGGAGGAGUGAAUUGGAUUUAGAAAAAUUUUCACAAAUUCUUGAAAAUCUUGGUUCUUAAAAUCACUACACAAUGGUUUAUCAACAAUCAAGAUGAAAAGCAAAGAGCAAGAACAAAACAUACACAAAAUUUUAUAUUGGUUCAAUUCUUGAAUUGAGUUUACAUCCAGUCUUCCUUCAACAACCUUAGUUGAAGGGAAGUCAGAGUCAAGAAUACAAAAGAAUUCUCUUAAUUUAUAUCCUCACAUACUCUUCAAUACAAAAAAAAAAAAAAAAACCAAGAGAGGUUUUCACUCACACUCUCUUAAAUCUUGCCUACCCAGCUAAGGUAACAAAUGAAAACAAUUAUCUAAUGAAACCUGAUAGCACCUAUAAUUGUGUAGAUCUUACAACUUUCC